rnacentral:rRNA from 1 species
UACGGAGGGUGCAAACGUUGCUCGGAAUCCUUGGGCGUAAAGCGCACGUAGGCGGCCUGAUAAGUCGGGUGUGAAAGCCCUGGGCUCAACCCAGGAAGUGCACUCGAAACUGUCAGGCUUGAAUAUGGAAGAGGGUCGCGGAAUUCCCGGUGUAGAGGUGAAAUUCGUAGAUAUCGGGAGGAACACCAGUGGCGAAGGCGGCGACCUGGGCCAAUAUUGACGCUGAGGUGCGAAAGCGUGGGGAGCAAACAGG